GACGAACGCUGGCGGCGUGCCUAACACAUGCAAGUCGAGCGGUAAGGCCUCUUCGGGGGUACACGAGCGGCGCACGGGUGAGUAACACGUGGGUGACCUGCCCUCAGCUCUGGGAUAAGCCUGGGAAACUGGGUCUAAUACCGGAUAUGACCUUUCCUCGCAUGGGGUUUGGUGGAAAGUUUUUUCGGCUGGGGAUGGGCCCGCGGCCUAUCAGCUUGUUGGUGGGGUGAUGGCCUACCAAGGCGACGACGGGUAGCCGGCCUGAGAGGGCGACCGGCCACACUGGGACUGAGACACGGCCCAGACUCCUACGGGAGGCAGCAGUGGGGAAUAUUGCGCAAUGGGCGGAAGCCUGACGCAGCGACGCCGCGUGGGGGAUGACGGCCUUCGGGUUGUAAACCUCUUUCGACCCCGACGAAUUUGGACGGUAGGGGUAGAAGAAGCACCGGCCAACUACGCG
rnacentral:rRNA from 1 species